rnacentral:rRNA from 1 species
CAGUAGCCACGGUAAUACGUAGGUCCCGAGCGUUGUCCGGAUUUAUUGGGCGUAAAGCGAGCGCAGGCGGUUAGAUAAGUCUGAAGUUAAAGGCUGUGGCUUAACCAUAGUACGCCUUGGAAACUGUUUAACUUGAGUGCAAGAGGGGAGAGUGGAAUUCCAUGUGUAGCGGUGAAAUGCGUAGAUAUAUGGAGGAACACCGGUGGCGAAAGCGGCUCUCUGGCUUGUAACUGACGCUGAGGCUCGAAAGCGUGGGGAGCAAACAGGAUUAGAUACCCCCGUAGUCCCUGUCUCUUAUACC